UACGUAGGGUGCAAGCGUUGCCCGGAUUUAUUGGGCGUAAAGGGCUCGUAGGCGGUUUGUCGCGUCGGGAGUGAAAACACCGGGCUUAACUCGGUGCUUGCUUUCGAUACGGGCAGACUGGAGGUAUGCAGGGGAGAACGGAAUUCCUGGUGUAGCGGUGAAAUGCGCAGAUAUCAGGAGGAACACCGGUGGCGAAGGCGGUUCUCUGGGCAUUACCUGACGCUGAGGAGCGAAAGUGUGGGGAGCGAACAGG
rnacentral:rRNA from 1 species